rnacentral:rRNA from 1 species
UACAGAGGGUGCAAACGUUGCUCGGAAUUACUGGGCGUAAAGCGCGUGUAGGCGGUUCGCUAAGUCGUCUGUGAAAUCCCACGGCUCAACCAUGGAAGUGCAGACGAUACUGGCAAACUUGAGUCCUCGAGAGGGUGGCGGAAUUCCCAGUGUAGAGGUGAAAUUCGUAGAUAUUGGGAGGAACACCGGUGGCGAAGGCGGCCACCUGGAGAGGUACUGACGCUGAGACGCGAAAGCGUGGGUAGCAAACAGG